AACGAACGCUGGCGGCAGGCCUAACACAUGCAAGUCGAACGCUCCGCAAGGGGAGUGGCAGACGGGUGAGUAACACGUGGGAAUCUUCCUGUUGGUACGGAAUAACUCAGGGAAACUUGGGGUAAUACCGUAUAAGCCCGAGAGGGGAAAGAUUUAUCGCCGACAGAUGAGCCCGCGUCUGAUUAGCUAGUUGGUGAGGUAACGGCUCACCAAGGCGACGAUCAGUAGCUGGUCUGAGAGGAUGACCAGCCACACUGGGACUGAGACACGGCCCAGACUCCUACGGGAGGCAGCAGUGGGGAAUAUUGGACAAUGGGCGCAAGCCUGAUCCAGCCAUGCCGCGUGAGUGACGAAGGUCUUCGGAUUGUAAAGCUCUUCUGGCGGGGACGAUAAUGACGGUACCCGCAGAAUAAGCCCCGGCUAACUUCGUGCCAGCCGCCGCCGUAAGAC
rnacentral:rRNA from 1 species